rnacentral:lncRNA from 1 species
CUAUUUGUCCCAGCAUAAAAAUGAAACUAAACCAAAUUAAGCAGAAAGCAAAAUAAGCAAGACUUGAACUAAAAUCAUAAUAAAUGCACAGCAGACUAUUUUAGGGCAGAUAUGGCUUCAAGGUCAGCUAUUUCAUUUUGGGUUUAGGUCCCGAACCCGCCUUCAUUCAAAAAGCCUUGGCUUUUCUUUUGAUUCUUCUUUCUGCUGGCAAGCAAGUUUGAAGGAAUUCAACAAAACCCAAAUGGAUGUUUCUGGAAAAUUAUUGUCAUGGUUAUUAACUUGUUUCAAUAAAUGGGAUAUAUUGCUUCUGCAAUUAGUAUUGUGAUUGACUUGAAUGUUUGGUGAUUCUUGAAUUUGAAUUUAU